UACAGAGGGGGCAAGCGUUGUUCGGAAUUACUGGGCGUAAAGGGCGCGUAGGCGGCCUUCUAAGUCAGACGUGAAAUCCCUCGGCUCAACCGGGGAACUGCGUCUGAGACUGGAAGGCUUGAAUCCGGGAGAGGGAUGUGGAAUUCCAGGUGUAGCGGUGAAAUGCGUAGAUAUCGGGAGGAACACCAGUGGCGAAGGCGACUACCUGGCCUGUUCUUGACGCUGAGGCGCGAAAGCUAGGGGAGCAAACGGGG
rnacentral:rRNA from 1 species